GUUUGUGUAGUUUAAAUAAAACAUUUGUUUUGUAAACUUAAAAUUGAUACGUCACUCAAACU
rnacentral:tRNA from 1 species